rnacentral:misc_RNA from 1 species
ACCUACAAACACUUGUGUGUUUUUGCUAGGCUUGGACUUGGAGGUGUUGCGGGCUUGAUUAGAGUCGGCUCCUCUUAAAUGCAUUAGCUUGAUUCCUUUGUGGAUCGGCUCCCGGUGUGAUAAUUGUCUACUCCGUGACCGUGAAGCGCUUGGCAAGCUUCUAA